rfam:Actinobacillus pleuropneumoniae L20 serotype 5b complete genome.
UAACUUACAGGAUACCGAGCUUGUAUGCCUAAGUCUUAGAUAAGGUGUGCAAGCCUGUGGCAAGCGGUUAAAAUUCACAAAAUUUUUGCAAAAUCAGACCGCUUACACACCGGAUAGUAAAGAAAUGCACUAUCCCCUCGUGUUUAGAAAGGUGUCAAAUUCAACUUAAC